AUUAAGGGUCAUUUCUGUCAAAGUGUUUCGAAAUUUCGAAAAUAGUAAUAAUAAUAAUAAUAAUUAAGAAAGUGGAGUAAAAUUAAAUGAACAGAGAUCCGGUUCCAACUUCCAAUCUCUCCUUCCCUCUUUCAUCUUGUCCGGACCACAUAUCAAAUCACCGUCUCUCUGUUUCCGCCGCUCAUCAUCAUCACCAUCAUCAAAAGUUCCUCAGUACAGAACCAGAAAACAUUUUCAGGACUAUAAGCUUUUGGAAUGGAUAAUCUAGGGAUUUCCUCAUGCCGCCCCAAAGAGAAGAAGCAAAAGAAGGAUUCUCAACCACUUCACACCCGAAAACUCCGUAGUUAUACCCAAAUUUCAAAUCAAUUAGGUGUCGACGAAAAUGUGGUGAUGAGAGAUAGUACUGAAGUUACUGGAGAAAGCUCUGGGUGCUCAAAUCAUGAAGCGCGCCAGACUGGAUGUAAUGAGUUGCCUCCUGCUUUAUUGAUGUUCCAUGUUUGGUCGAAAGACGGGAUCGACCUCGUUGUUGAUUUGAACUCCAACUCUAGAGAAAGGGAGGAACAAGUGAAAGCUUCAUUUCUUGGGAGUGUGCCAGUAAAAGUGGAAACGGCAGGUGAUGCCAAGGUUAUUGAAUCUUCCGCAAGUUCAACUGUGAGGGAUAUCCCAGAGGAAAGUGGAAGAUCUUCUGUGAUAAUACCAGAGAACCCUGCAGAGUCAAGCCUUGUUAGGGAGAGUGAUCUGAAGGUUUCAUUUCUAUGCGAUAACUAUUCUCAGAAUUCUGUAGAUUUGAGUGGUGAUUCUCAUCUCCAGUGUGGUGAUAUAACUUUUGUUUCACCUGGCUCAAGAUUAUCUGAUAUGUCAGAAAAUGGAUCAAAGAGUGAUAGCAAAUGUACAGCAAGUGAUGAAACAGUCCCCGUGCCGGCUUCGGUUUCUUGUAAACCAGAUCUUCCAAUAGUCAUCAAAUUCUGUGAGGAUCAAGUCAUGCUAAUUACUUCUGCGAUUGAGAACCCUGGUGGUGUAAUUCCACGUCCCUCAGAGCCUCCAUGUACUAAACCCUUAGUUGAGGACCAGGUUGAGCUGGUAAAUGAUGCAGCUUCAGGUUCAGCUUCACAGCUUGACAUGCAGCUAGACAAUGGCAUCCAGGCUGACCCUCCAGAUCCUGAACCCCCAAUUGAGGACCAGGUUGAGCUAGUAAAUGACGCAGCUUCAGGUUCAGCUUCACAGCCUGACAUACAGCUAGACAAUGGCAUCCAGGCUGAGCCUCCAGAUCCUGAACCCCCAGUUGAGAACCAGGCUGAGCUAGUAAAUAACUCAGAUUUAAUGUUAGCUUCAGAGCCUGAUAUACAGCUAGAUAACCACAUUCUGUCUGAGCCUCCGUGUCCUGAACCCUUAGUUGAGAACCAGGUUGAUCUAGUAAACAACUCAGCUUCAGGGUCUGCUUCGCAGCCUAAUAUACAGCUAGACAAUGGCAUUCAGUCUGAGCCACCAUGUCCUGAACCCUUAGUCGAGGACCAGGUUGAAGUAGUAAAUAAUUCAGCUUCAGGGUCAGGUUCGCAGCCGGAUAUACAGCUAGACAAUGGCAUCCAGUAUGGGCAUAUUACUUCCCAACAAGCUGAAGAUCCAACACAUCAACCAACAACCGAAGAGGGUGUUGUUGCGCCACUAAGACCGAUGCUUCAGCAACCUAUAUCGAUUGGCAGAUCUCUAGGCGGAAGUGGUGCAUGCGUAUCAGAUUCCAGAAGCAUUGGAGGUGUUCCAGAUUCCAUUAAUCAUCUUCGCCAAAGUGCUCCAAUGACUUCUUCUGGAACUUCUCAGUCUCUGCUCCAUCAUGACCCUUUUUUAGAUGAAUCAGUGAGAAUCGGUCGAGGGCAGGACCAAGUUGGGUUAGUUAUUAACUCAACCCCACAGCCUAAUAUACAGUUAGACAAUGGCAUCCAGUUGGGACAUAACACUUCCCAACAGGCUGAAUUUCCAACACAGCCAGCAACAACUGUACAGCAUUCUAGGUCACCUUCUUAUAAUGAUGCUUUGCAAGGUACAAUGCUUCAGCGGCCCAUGUUUAUAGACAGAUGUGUAGGUGGAAGUGUUACACGUGUAUCAGAUGCCAGAGACUUGGGAGUUGUUCCAAACUGCAUUAGUAAUCCUUUACAAAUUGCUCCGUCGACUUCUUCUCAGGCUCUGCACCGAGAUGAUCCUCUUUCAAAUGAAUUGGCAAGAGUUCGCCAAGAGUGGGAUCAAGCAGUGAAAUUGCACAAAGAAUUGAAAAUGCGGAUCAGAUUCGAUUUAUCCAAGGAGUUGCAAGAGGUCAAGAAAAAAUAUUGCAAGCUUCAUCACGAUAAUGAAAGUGCAUUAGCUCGUACAAAGAAAUCAAUUGACACAAACUAUAACAAAGUCUUCAUGAAUGGGUUGCUAGCGAAGCAUUUUAGGGACAAAUUAUUGUGAGGCUACCAGGACUGCUGGAUGACAUCAAGUAAGGUGGUUAACGACUAUGUUACGAGAAUAGGUUUUUAUUUGCUUGGAAAAGGAUUAUAUCUCAUUUUCUGCCCACAAGCAAUGAUUGGUAUAAGAGACGUGGCGUUUGUGAGCUGCUCUCCCAAAUUUCAUAAGUCUGUCAAUCAGGUAUCAACGAGAGAGAUUCCUACUUAAGUUACUGGAGAAAGCUCUGGGUGCUCAAAUCACGAAGCCCGUCAGACUGGAUAAAUGAAGCUAUUUAUGUUCUAGUUUGCUCAAGAGGUGAAGGUGGUUUACUUAAAGAGCGGAUGGAAUUAGCUGCUGAGCCACGGCAGGAGAAUAUCAAGGUGGCCUUGGUAGACAACCCAUUAAUCAAAUUCUAAACAUGUACAAAAACAGACGAGGGAAGAAAUUUUUCCAACAUUAGUUCUGCAUAAUGUUAGGAAUUUUACAUUUUUUUUGUGUGAAUCAUGAAUAUACAUUCUUCCUUCAUUCAACCAAUAUAAUCCUGGCUUGAUCGGGGUAUACCCAAAUUAAUUGGGGUAUACCUAAUGAGACAAAAGUCAGGUCAUUUUGAAGUAAAACAGGCUACCCCUUAACCUUUUAUUUUCUAAAUGGCUAAUA